rnacentral:piRNA from 1 species
UUCUUCCAUCAGCCUUCUGAGCCUAGCUUC